rnacentral:rRNA from 1 species
UACGUAGGGGGCAAGCGUUGUCCGGAUUUAUUGGGCGUAAAGAGCGUGUAGGCGGCCGUACAGGUCAGCUGUGAAAACUCGAGGCUCAACCUCGAGACGUCGGUUGAAACCGUACGGCUAGAGUCCGGAAGAGGAGAGUGGAAUUCCCGGUGUAGCGGUGAAAUGCGCAGAUAUCGCUUGGAACGCCAACGGUGAAAACAGGUUGCUGGG